rnacentral:rRNA from 1 species
GAUGAACGCUGGCGGCGUGCUUAUCACAUGCAAGUCGAACGAAGCACUUUAUUUGAUUUCCUUCGGGACUGAUUAUUUUGUGACUGAGUGGCGGACGGGUGAGUAACGCGUGUGUAACCUGCCUUGUACAGGGGGAUAACAGUUGGAAACGGCUGCUAAUACCGCAUAAGCGCACAGCAUCGCAUGAUGCAGUGUGAAAAACUCCGGUGGUAUAAGAUGGAGCCGCGUUGGAUUAGCUAGUUGGUGAGGAAACGGCCCACCAAGGCGACGAUCCAUAGCCGAGCUGAGAGGGUGACCGGCAACAUUGGGACUGAGACACGGACCAAACUCCUACGGGAGGAAGAAGUGGGGAAUAUUGCACAAUGGGCGAAAGACUGAUGCAGCGACGCCGCGUGAGCGAAGAAGUAUUUCGGUAUGUAAAGCUCUAUCAGCAGGGAAGAUAAUGACGGUACCUGACUAAGAAGCACCGGCUAAAUACGUG